AUAGGCGAGGUUUUUAGAAUACAGUUGACUUUGUGGAGACCUAGAGAUCUAGUAAUAUAAUCAGAGAGCUGAUUAUUGGUUAAGAGGAUAUUUCUCCCAUUGUCAUUCUCACUUGUGGAGUUGAUUAAAUAAUCAGCUUGCUAUUGCAUCAUAUUUUACUUUUACUAAUCAUUCAUUUAUUUUACAGAUAUUCAUUGAGCAUUUACUAUGUGCAAGGCACUCUGCUGGACCCUUUGAGAGAAAAUGAAACUCUACCCUCAAGAAGCUCAGAAGCCAGAGCUCCGGGGACUGUCUACACCAGCUCCACCUAAUGAGGGCCCUCAGAGUGCCCGGCCAACCUGGAUGACCUAGCCCCAGGUUACAUUCAGGGCUGCCAGCAGGAGCCUGACAUCA
rnacentral:lncRNA from 1 species